rnacentral:lncRNA from 1 species
GCCAUUAUUCUUUAUUCAGAAUAAAAUUCAAAAAUAUAGAGAUAAACAGAAAAAUCACCUUUUGCGAAUAGUCUGUUUAAUGGAGGCUUUGCGAUUACAAUAAUCAUUACCUUCUAACAUUAAAAUGUAAGGAUGCCAACAAUAAAUCAAACCAUUAUAGAGGUUUCAGAGAGCAGGGAUCCACAGCAUCUCAAUGGACAGAUGAAGGGUCAAAUAGAGUAAGAGGAGCCCUUGGAAAGUGUCCUAGAAGUAGUGAGAAAGAGGAAAAACAGCAUUCUGACAUAGCUUUGCAAAGCUUCAUUUUCUUUCUUUCUUUUUUUUUUUUUUUUUUUUUUUUUUUUUUUUUCUUUUUUUGUCUUUUUGCUAUUUCUUGGGCCGCUCCCUCGGCAUAUGGAGGUUCCCAGGGCCAGGAGGAACCUUUCCUGGUUGCCAAGCUCCUGUUUUAGAGGGAAAGUGCAGACUGAAAACCACUGAGGCCACAUUUGAGUAACAAGGGAUUUAGAUGGGAAAUCUCAGGCAUUUCCCAGCUAAAGUCUCUUAUCAAGGUCAUAAACAUUGGAGAUUGUCUUGAGGCACCGAGCUAAUAUCACCGUAUUGGUGGUAGCAAACCAAAGUCAGGUCCACUCACCAUGCACAGUAAAGCCAAUCUACUGACACUAGGUUGUGGUGCCAGGAAAGUGUAGCAUUUAUUGCAGGGAGCAAAGCAGAGUCAGGCAGCUAACGCUUCAAAGACCUGCACUCCCUGAUGGCUUCCAGGCAAAGGCUUUUAAAGACCAGAUGAGGGAGGGGGAGUGUGGGGUGCGUGCUCAGCUCAUGGACAGUCUUCCGCUUGGUGGGUGGUGAGGUCAUGGGGAGUCAACAUCCUCAACUUUCCGGUUCCACCUGGUCUAGGGUCCAUGUGGGCAGCAUAGAGUUAACGUGUACCUGGCGGGGGUUUCUGCAAAACAGCUCCAAGGAUAUGGCUCGGGAUAUUAUCUCUAACCCUUGAGGAAGAACUAAAAGUACUUGGGGGUUCCCGCCAUGGCGCAGAGGAAAUGAAUCCGACUAGGAACCAUGAGGGUGUGGGUACAAUCCCCGUCUCGCUCAGUGGGUUAAGGAUCUGGCAUUGUCAUGAGCUGUGGUGUAGGUCGCAGAUGCGGCUCAGAUCCUGCAUUGCUGUGGCUGUGGCCGGCAGCUGUAGCUUCGAUUCAACCCCUGACCUGGGAAUCUCCACGUGCCAUGCGCGUGGCCCUAAAAGCAAAAAUAAAUAAAUAAAUAAAUAAAAAUAAUAAAAGUACCUGACUUUGUUUAAUGACUCGUCUGCUAUUAUUUUCUCUGGCUUGAAUGUUUUCCUUUCUGCAUUUUCUCACUUCUCUGAUUAAAUAUAUUUUUUAGAACUCAGGGAAGGCCUAGGUGGCUAACAUUUUCCUACAGCCAAGAGGUAGGUGGAGGGCAUGGAUGAGGAGGGAGGUCUGCCCUGGGAGGGCCUCAUAGGGUCCUGCUUGGUUACACUGGGUUCACUGUUUUUACAAAGAUUUAACAGGCAUAAAGUUUACAAAUGAUUAUGCAAAGCAGAGUUAAAAGUCAUACGACAGGUUCAGUUUGAAUGAUGGUCCUAAAACCAGAGCCUAAAUCUGAAGGUAAAGCUAAAUAGGUCAUCAGGUGAAAUUUGUUGUAACCAGUGGGUUAGUUCUCUGAUCUUGUGUAAUUGCGUUUUUAUCUCUCCAGAGCCAUUUAACCAUAUGUAACAGGUGGCAUUUGCUAUUUAAAAAAAAAAAUAGCUUCUCGUUCAGCAAGUAUGUAAUCAAGGGCUAUGUGAUUUUCCAAAACUACUUUAGCUAAUGAAUCAAGUGAUCUUUGUGGGGCUGUAGAAUUGGCUAGGUCUCCUAAUGCUAGGGAGAGAUUUUUGAUCAUGCAUUCAUUGGUUGUUUUUUUUUGUUUGUUUUGUGUUUUGUUUUUGGGCUGUGCCUGCGACAUAUAGAAGUCCCCAGGCUAGAGGUCAGAUGUGAGCUACAGCUGCCAGCCUACACCACAGCCACAGCAGACUGGGAUCUAAGCUGUGUCUGUGACUUAUACCACAGCUCACAGCAAUGCCAGAUUCCGGACCCAUUGAGCAAGGCCAGGGAUCGAACCCGCAUCCUCAUGGUUACUAGUUGGAUUUGUUUCUGCCGCACCACAACAGGAACUCUCGAUCACGCAUUCGUUGGAACUAAUACUGACCUAGAGGAGAAAGUCUCUCCCUGUGGAGGCAAACUCAGAGUCAGGUAGGCUUCCUGAAAAUUCUCUUUUAAGGGGGCGUGAUGGUGCGGACCAAUGGGAGAUUUCGAACAACUUUGUAGCUGAUGUCAAGGGGCUGCUGGGUGAAAUUAGCAGCAGGACUUGGGAUUAGUGAAAAAAUUCGUUAAAGGAUGAACUAAAGGGUCAUUAUUGUCGUGAAUGGAAUGAAGUUUCUGGUGGUCGACCCAACAAUUAGAUACGUUUCCCCCUUUCGUAAGAAGUUGAAAAUGCAGGUAAGAGCACUGUCUUUCUGGGAGGAGGUAGAGGAAAGGGUGAGAAGAAAUAGAAGGAAAAGAUCCAGUCACCUGGGGAAGGUGUCUCCUGCAGAUUUUACCUGCUUCAAUCCCUGGUCAAUCUGACUCAACUGUCUCCAGCACUUGUUAUAGGACUUCUUUAGCUGCGAGACCCCGAUCCAAGGCUGGAGUCUCUGAUAUUUUGCUGUCUUGGGUUAGUGAGGAAGACUCUGGGGUAUUCCUUUCCAAGGAAAUUCAAGGGUGGUCUUUGUUCCUAAUGAUUCCAAAUCAAAAGGGUGGGAGACAACUGGAAACAUUACUUUGGAGAUUGGCAGUCAGAUAAUUAAGGAAACCAGAAGAGUUUAGGAUCCAGUCUAGCUUACAGGUGUGUAACAGAACCUUCAAGGAAAUUACAGGACAAGAAUCUAAUAUCUACAAAGGUGCAAACAU